rnacentral:rRNA from 1 species
AUUGAACGCUGGCGGCAUGCCUUACUCAUGCAAGUCGAACGGCAGCACGGACUUCGGUCUGGUGGCGAGUGGCGAACGGGUGAGUAAUGUAUCGGAACGUACCAUUGAGUGGGGGAUAACUAUCCGAAAGGAUAGCUAAUACCGCAUAUUCUCUCCGGAUGAAAGCAGGGGACCGCAAGGCCUUGCGCUCAUGCAACGGCCGAUAUCAGAUUAGCUAGUUGGUGUGGUAAAGGCUCACCAAGGCGACGAUCUGUAGCGGGUCUGAGAGGAUGAUCCGCCACACUGGAACUGAGACACGGUCCAGACUCCUACGGGAGGCAGCAGUGGGGAAUGUUGGACAAUGGGGGCAACCCUGAUCCAGCCAUGCCGCGUGAGUGAAGAAGGCCUUCGGGUUGUAAAGCUCUUUCGGCCGGGAAAAAAUCGCAUGGGCUAAUACCCUGUGUGGAUGAUGGUACCGGAAUAAGAAGCACCGGCUAACUACGUGCCAGCCGCCGCUGUAAUAC